AGGGAAUAGAUACCCCGGUAGUCCUGGCAGUAAACGGUGCACGUUUGGUGUGGGCGCAAUCGACCGCGUCCGCGCCGGAGCUAAACGCGUUAAACGUGCCGCCUGGGAAGUACGGUCGCAAGAUUAAAACUCAAAGAAAUUGACGGGGACCCGGCACAAGCGGUGGAGUAUGUGGCUUAAUUCGAUGCAACGCGAAGAACCUUACCUGGUCUUGACAUGCAUUGUGUCUCCGGUGAAAGCCGGAUAGGGUAGCAAUACCCGCUUUGCACAGGUGCUGCAUGGCUGUCGUCAGCUCGUGUCGUGAGAUGUUGGGUUAAAGUCCCGCAACGAGCGCAACCCCUGUGAUUUGUUGCCACCGGCUUAUGCCGAGCACUCGAAUCAGACUGCCUCGAUCAACGAGGAGGAAGGUGGGGAUGACGUCAGGUCCGUAUGGCCCUUACGACCAGGGCUGCACACGUACUACAAUGCCCAGUACAAUGUGAACCGAGACCGCGAGGUGGAGGAAAUCAAUAAAA
rnacentral:rRNA from 1 species